AGAGUUUGAUCCUGGCUCAGAUUGAACGCUGGCGGCAGGCCUAACACAUGCAAGUCGAGCGGAUGACGGGAGCUUGCUCCUUGAUUCAGCGGCGGACGGGUGAGUAAUGCCUAGGAAUCUGCCUGGUAGUGGGGGACAACGUUUCGAAAGGAACGCUAAUACCGCAUACGUCCUACGGGAGAAAGCAGGGGACCUUAGGGCCUUGCGCUAUCAGAUGAGCCUAGGUCGGAUUAGCUAGUUGGUGGGGUAAUGGCUCACCAAGGCGACGAUCCGUAACUGGUCUGAGAGGAUGAUCAGUCACACUGGAACUGAGACACGGUCCAGACUCCUACGGGAGGCAGCAGUGGGGAAUAUUGGACAAUGGGCGAAAGCCUGAUCCAGCCAUGCCGCGUGUGUGAAGAAGGUCUUCGGAUUGUAAAGCACUUUAAGUUGGGAGGAAGGGCAGUAAGCUAAUACCUUGCUGUUUUGACGUUACCGACAGAAUAAGCACCGGCUAACUCUGUGCCAGCAGCCGCGGUAAUACAGAGGGUGCAAGCGUUAAUCGGAAUUACUGGGCGUAAAGCGCGCGUAGGUGGUUUGUUAAGUUGGAUGUGAAAGCCCCGGGCUCAACCUGGGAACUGCAUCCAAAACUGGCAAGCUAGAGUACGGUAGAGGGUGGUGGAAUUUCCUGUGUAGCGGUGAAAUGCGUAGAUAUAGGAAGGAACACCAGUGGCGAAGGCGACCACCUGGACUGAUACUGACACUGAGGUGCGAAAGCGUGGGGAGCGAACAGGAUUAGAUACCCUGGUAGUCCACGCCGUAAACGAUGUCAACUAGCCGUUGGAAUCCUUGAGAUUUUAGUGGCGCAGCUAACGCAUUAAGUUGACCGCCUGGGGAGUACGGCCGCAAGGUUAAAACUCAAAGGAAUUGACGGGGACCCGCACAAGCGGUGGAUGAUGUGGAUUAAUUCGAUGCAACGCGAAAAACCUUACCUACCCUUGACAUGUCCAGAAGCCCGGAGAGAUUUGGGUGUGCCCGAAAGGGAACUGGAACACAGGUGCUGCAUGGCUGUCGUCAGCUCGUGUCGUGAGAUGUUGGGUUAAGUCCCGCAACGAGCGCAACCCUUGUCGUUAAUUGCCAUCAUUUAGUUGGGCACUUUAACGAGACUGCCGGUGACAAACCGGAGGAAGGUGGGGAUGACGUCAAGUCCUCAUGGCCCUUAUGGGUAGGGCUUCACACGUCAUACAAUGGUCGGUACAGAGGGUUGCCAAGCCGCGAGGUGGAGCCAAUCCCAGAAAGCCGAUCGUAGUCCGGAUUGCAGGCUGCAACUCGCCUGCAUGAAGUCGGAAUCGCUAGUAAUCGCGGAUCAGCAUGUCGCGGUGAAUACGUUCCCGGGUCUUGUACACACCGCCCGUCACACCAUGGGAGCGGGUUCCGCCAGAAGUAGGUAGCCUAACCGUAAGGAGGGCGCUUACCACGGCGGGGUUCGUGACUGGGGUGAAGUCGUAACAAGGUAGCCGUA
rnacentral:rRNA from 1 species